rnacentral:rRNA from 1 species
GAUGAACGCUGGCGGCGUGCCUAAUACAUGCAAGUCGAGCGAACAGACGAGGAGCUUGCUCCUCUGACGUUAGCGGCGGACGGGUGAGUAACACGUGGUUAACCUACCUAUAAGACUGGGAUCACUUCGGGAAACCGGAGCUAAUACCGGAUAAUAUAUUGAACCGAAUGGUUCAAUAGUGAACGACGGUUUUGCUGUCACUUAUAGAUGGAUCCGCGCCGCAUUAGCUAGUUGGUAAGGUAACGGCUUACCAAGGCAACGAUGCGUAGCCGACCUGAGAGGGUGAUCGGCCACACUGGAACUGAGACACGGUUCAGACUCCUUCGCGAGGCAGCAGUAGGGAAUCUUCCGAAAUGGGCGAAAGCCUGACGGAGCAACGCCGCGUGAGUGAUGAAGGUCUUCGGAUCGGAAAACGCUGCAAUUAGGGAAGAAUGAAUGUGUAAGUAUCUAUGCCCGUCUUGACGGUACCUGAUGAGAAAGCCACGUCUAACUACGUG